UGGGGAAUCUUGCGCAAUGGGCGAAAGCCUGACGCAGCAACGCCGCGUGAGGGAUGGAGGCCUUCGGGUUGUAAACCUCUUUCAGUAGGGACGAUUGUGACGGUACCUGCAGAAGAAGCCCCGGCCAACUACGUGCCAGCAGCCGCGGUAAUACGUAGGGGGCAAGCGUUGUCCGGAAUUAUUGGGCGUAAAGAGCUCGUAGGCGGCUUGGUAAGUCGGGUGUGAAACCUCCAGGCUCAACUUGGAGAUGCCACCCGAUACUGCCAUGGCUAGAGUCCGGUAGGGGCCCACGGAACUCCUGGUGUAGCGGUGAAAUGCGCAGAUAUCAGGAAGAACACCGGUGGCGAAGGCGGUGGGCUUGGGCCGGAACUGACGCUGAGGAGCGAAAGCGUGGGGAGCGAACA
rnacentral:rRNA from 1 species